rnacentral:rRNA from 1 species
UACGUAGGGGGCAAGCGUUUGUCCGGGAAUUAUUGGGCGUAAAGCGCGCGCAGGCGGUCAAUUAAGUCUGGUGUUUAAUCCUGGGGGCUCAACUCCGGGUCGGCACUGGAAACUGGUAGACUUGAGUGCAGAAGAGGAGAGUGGAAUUCCACGUGUAACGGUGAAAUGCGUAGAGAUGUGGAGGAACACCAGUGGCGAAGGGCGACUCUCUGGGCUGUAACGUGAC